CUUUGCUGAAGGGGACAUGCUCGACUGCCGGUUGUUAUGGAGAUUGCACUGCUGCAGACAAUGUAGUGCAAGAAAGAGCACAUAGCCAAGUGAGUUCUGAAUUGGGUAAAUCUACGGUCAAGGUCCCCAGUAAUUACUCAUCACUAUAUGGUAGUAGAUCCAAACAAAAUUUGACGGAGGCUGAGAAAGAACAACGAAGAUUGCGCAGGGUCAUUGCUAACCGGGAGUCAGCUAGGCAGACCAUCCGUCGGCGCCAGGCCCUUCGCGAGGAGCUAACGAGAAAAGUUGCCGAUUUGUCAUUGGAAAAUGAGAAAAUGAAGAUGG